GACUCUCAGCAAUGAAUAUAUUGGAUCUUGUAUCAAUGAAGAACACAGUAAAAUGUGAGACUUUGUGUGAAUUGCAGAAUCCCAUGAACUAUCGAGUCUUUGAACGCAAGUUGCACCCCCAAGCCAUUAGGCCGAGGGCACGUCUACCUGAGUGUCA
rfam:Gossypium hirsutum cultivar TM-1 chromosome 18, whole genome shotgun sequence